rnacentral:rRNA from 1 species
UACAGAGGUCUCAAGCGUUGUUCGGAUUCAUUGGGCGUAAAGGGUGCGUAGGUGGCGCCGUAAGUGGGGUGUGAAAUCUCGGGGCUUAACUCCGAAACUGCAUUCCAUACUGCGGUGCUCGAGGACUGGAGAGGAGACUGGAAUUCAUGGUGUAGCAGUGAAAUGCGUAGAGAUCAUGAGGAAGACCAGUGGCGAAGGCGGGUCUCUGGGCUGAAACUGACGCUCAUGCACGAAAGCGUGGGGAGCAAACAGG